ACGUAGGGGGCAAGCGUUGUCCGGAAUGAUUGGGCGUAAAGGGCGCGUAGGCGGCCUGGUAAGUCUGGAGUGAAAGUCCUGCUUUUAAGGUGGGAAUUGCUUUGGAUACUGUCGGGCUUGAGUGCGGGAGAGGUAAGUGGAAUUCCCGGUGGAGCGGUGAAAGGAGUAGAGAUCGGGCGGAAGACCAGUGGCGAAGGCGACAUACUGGACUGUAUCUGACGCUGAGGCGCGAAACUGUGGGCAGCAAACAG
rnacentral:rRNA from 1 species